GGAUGUGAGGGUGAUCUGGCUGCGACAUCUGUCACCCAUUGAUCACCCAGGAUCGAUUGGCUGAUCUGGCUGGGAGGAGGGUGUCCUCUUCCUCCCUUUCCUCCCUCACCACCCCACAUGCAUGCGUGCGUGCGUCCUUCCCAAAGCUAGUGGGAGUUUGGGCUUGCUCAAAGAGGACGACCUUCCCUGAAUAGAGGAGGACCCCUGUUUAGUCAAGGGUACGCUCCCCUGAUGGAACCUCCAAACAAGCUCUCAAGGUCCUAAAAAAGCAAAACAACGAAAAAACUGCUACAAACAGCAUUCUUUCUUU
rnacentral:snRNA from 1 species